rnacentral:rRNA from 1 species
UGACGAGCGGCGGACGGGUGAGUAAUGCAUAGGAAUCUGCCCGAUAGUGGGGGAUAACCUGGGGAAACCCAGGCUAAUACCGCAUACGUCCUACGGGAGAAAGGGGGCUCCGGCUCCCGCUAUGGGAUGAGCCUAUGUCGGAUUAGCUGGUUGGUGAGGUAACGGCUCACCAAGGCCACGAUCCGUAGCUGGUCUGAGAGGAUGAUCAGCCACAUCGGGACUGAGACACGGCCCGAACUCCUACGGGAGGCAGCAGUGGGGAAUAUUGGACAAUGGGGGAAACCCUGAUCCAGCCAUGCCGCGUGUGUGAAGAAGGCCCUCGGGUUGUAAAGCACUUUCAGCGAGGAAGAACGCCUAGCGGUUAAUACCCGCUAGGAAAGACAUCACUCGCAGAAGAAGCACCGGCUAACUCCGUGCCAGCAGCCGCGGUAAUACGGAGGG